UGAUGACCGAUGAUUCUUCUUGCCAGU
rnacentral:piRNA from 1 species